rnacentral:lncRNA from 1 species
GCACUCUAUUUUAAAGUUUACCACAAAGUAAACAGUCAGUAAUCUUCAUUGUACAGGCUGGCAGGUGUGGCCCAUUUGUUGCUAAUGUGUCUCAAUGCAGGUAAGCAUGCAGUGAAAACGUUUAGAGUGACAGCUGCCUGUUUCCUUAAGCCAGUGUUUCCCAAUCCUGGUCCUGGAGAACCCCCAACACUGCACGUUUUUGGUGUCUCUUUUAUCUGACACACACAUUUGAGGUCUUGGAGUCUUCACUAAUGAGCUGAUGAGUUGAAUUAGGUGUGUUUGAAUAGGGAGACAUCUAAAAUGUGGAUUGUUGGGGGUUCUCCAGGACCAGGAUUGGGAACCACUGCCUCAAGCAGUUCAAUAUGCUAGCAGCUGUAUGAUCUUUAGCAUGUAAUCAUGUUGAAUACAUAUCCUCUUCGUGCAUUUUAGCAAACAGAUGUGAGAAAGUUCCUGCUUGGAGAACUGUACUGCAUUUACAGCUCGCUGAGUGAACAGUGCCAAAAUCUGAAUUCGGCAUGAGGUUCUCCGACCUUAAGCUGGCUGGGAUGAGUCGCUCUGGAAGGAAUGCAGGUAUGGCAUCUUCGUCUAGACACCAGGUUCUGCUGAUCCCACGUCUGCUGCUUUCCCAGAUCUCCUGCAAGGCUUUCAUUCCCGGGUCAAGCUCCAUCCUCCAAAGGGGUCACAGACAGAUCCAUCAUUCCCAGAUAACCAUCUCUGCAGUGAACCGUGAAAGUGUUGUCGGACGAAUUCAGGCCGAUCUUGUUUUGUGCACCUUAUGGCUUUGACAGCUGCUCGCCCAAAGGGAGGGAAAGACCCGCUUUCAUCCUUGGAUGUUCACCUGACCCUUUUCGUAAUGUAAUAAAGCCCCGUAAUGUUUACAGUAUUGGUUGUGCUUCAGAGAAUCCUAGAAAUUUGUCUUCCAAGCAGGAGGUUGUACUUUUGACCUCAUAUAAGGUAAUAUGCCAUGAUUAGUUUCACAUGUGCUCUUUUUUUCUCCCCUUCUUUUUAGGAACAAAAUAAUUGAAGAACUUUAGAGGUUUUUAAUUCGGAGACUAUUAAAAACAGUCUGUAUUUUCUAACAGGUGUUUUUUUUUUGCCAAUAACUCUGGUGCUAUUUAUAAUGGUAUAACUAUCUGGUUUAUUUUGUCAUUUCUGAGUUAUACAGGACCAGAGGUUUUCCUAAAGGCUGUGCAAGCAAAACAUAUGGACCACAAGGGCAAAUUUAACAGUGAACGCUGGUUUGGCUCUUAAACCCAUGGCGUCUGUUAAAUAGCCGAGGAGUCCCAUUUCUCCCAUUCUUGUGAUAUUCUGAAACAGACAUUCCCUUAAUGUUAUCAGGCUGUUUGGCUUUCUUUAACACAGCAGGUUUGGAUUAAAUCAAGCCUUAGUUCUAAUCUGUUUUGGUCGAGAUGCGGCCCACAUCACAGUUUAUCACAUCCAAUCUGAAACUGGUAUUCAAAUUGGGGAUUUAAAACAAAUUUGGGCCUGAGGGAAGAUGCUCUUGUUCUCAGCUGUCCCAGUUUAGUGGGAAAACAGUGUAAAAAUGCAAGCCGUUAAUCCUUGCCAAGGGCUGAUUUGAAGCUGGAAGUCACCUGUUCUCAAACUAGCAGCUCUAAAGGGGACAGUUAACCCAAAAAAUUACUAUUUUUUUUUAAUGGUAAAGGUUUCUAGAGGCUUGGAACAGCAUAUGAGGG